rnacentral:lncRNA from 1 species
GAUUCUGUACACCCCCCUUAUACCAAGGGGUUAAAUCUAUUCCUGCCAAAAGAUUCUUCACUCCCAAGAUGUAAAUUAAACCUCUAAAAGCGUAAAGACAACCAUUCCACCGUCCCUUUAAUGGCAAUUUCAAGUGAUAACACCUCGUGCAAAUGGAGAAACUUCGAAUUUACACUUCAUCACAACCUUCUCCCAUUUUUCACUAUACCAUUUAAUU